rnacentral:rRNA from 1 species
GUGGGGAAUCUUGCGCAAUGGGCGAAAGCCUGACGCAGCCAUGCCGCGUGAAUGAUGAAGGUCUUAGGAUUGUAAAAUUCUUUCACCGGGGACGAUAAUGACGGUACCCGGAGAAGAAGCCCCGGCUAACUUCGUGCCAGCAGCCGCGGUAAUACGAAGGGGGCUAGCGUUGCUCGGAAUUACUGGGCGUAAAGGGCGCGUAGGCGGACAGUUUAGUCAGAGGUGAAAGCCCAGGGCUCAACCUUGGAAUUGCCUUUGAGACUGGCUGUCUUGAGUACGGGAGAGGUGAGUGGAACUCCGAGUGUAGAGGUGAAAUUCGUAGAUAUACGGAAGAACACCAGUGGCGAAGGCGACUCACUGGCCCGUUACUGACGCUGAGGCGCGAAAGCGUGGGGAGCAAACAGGAUUAGAUACCCUGGUAGUCC